AAGUCGUAACAAGGUCUCCGUUGGUGAACCAGCGGAGGGAUCAUUACCGAGUGUAUCUUUUUACCUCUGAAACCCCUGUGAACAUACCAUUCUGUUGCUUUGGCGGGACUGUCCCGGCGUCUUUGGACCCGGAUUCAUGGCGCCCGCCAGAGGCCAUCAACUCUUGUUUUACCCAUUGUGGUUUUCUUCUGAGUGGCAUAAUGCAAACAAAUAAUCAAAACUUUCAACAACGGAUCUCUUGGUUCUG
rnacentral:misc_RNA from 1 species